GUUCCCUGAAUACAUUCUUCCAGAGACUGAGCUGUCUUCCAUCACCAUGUUCGUUGCUGCUACUGUUUUAACUCUCUCAGGACAAGGAAACCACCUCAAAAUGCAACUGGAAGGUGCUUUAAGAAGUUAUACUCUCAUGUUUUCUUUCAAGGUUUCUUCAUGCCUGCUUUCUCACAUUCACAUGAAGAGCCCACACAACCAGGGAGAGCUGGCUGACUAAUGGGUGAUAGAGAGGAAACAGUGACAGGCAGGAAGGCAGCAGUGGGGCACAUGGGUCCAGCGGAGAGUGGGAUGCGGGGGCUCGCCCCUAGCUGCUUGUUGCAUCUUCCCAGGGUCAUCAUUUGCACUCCUGAACACAUUUCAUCUGCCAGCUCUGCUGUAACCCCACAGCUUGAAAUUCAACUUGGUGUCUCAAAUGGGUAUUGGAUGUAGUAAGGUGGCUGUUGUGCGUGAAGUGUCACACAUUGUUAAGGCUUGUGCUCUAAUUAACUCAAAGUGGCAUAGACCAGGAUUGUAUAAUUGUGUCCUUAUUAACACGUGAGGCUUGACAGGAAUUACUGGGCUUGGUUAAUGUUAAUGUUCAACAAGUUAAUUUGAUGUAAGUGAAUCAAUAUCUUUCCCAAUGUCAUGUUAAGUUAAACAUACAUAAAAUAUCAAAAAAAAAAAAAGAAAAGGCUAACUUUUCUUCUUAUUGAGGCUGAUGUGCCUUAGGUUUCUUUAAAAGGAAACAAAAGUAGGAAUCCUUACCUAUCCAUAGCAUUUGAGAUCAGAUCAUCUGAGGCUUUCUCUCUCCAAACUGACGUGCCUCUGAUACUUUACUACAGAGUUAGACAACAACUUAGCCUCUGAGAAGCGUUGUUUCCUAUGUGCAUGUUUUGAGGUGUAAAUUCUGUUGAAUGCUCCAUAGCAGUUUUGUAGAUCUGGUGCUCACAUAUCCCUUGUCAUUAAUCCUGGAAAUAAUUUCUAAAGCUGGAAUUCCAUUUUUAAGUUCAUCCUCCUCUCAGGACAGACUGGUUAAAUCCACUACCUGAGUUCCUGCUCAAAAGCCAGCAUUGCUUGCAGGUGGAGACAUCAACACUGUGUACCAACGUUAGCUCAGUCUUCCCAAAAAGCACAGGGAUUGCUCGGCUGAGUCCAGCUCCAUCAAAGUAGUUUUAUGUGGUUUUAAAAACAGCCCAGUGACACGUAGAGGAAACAUGCAGCAGCCAAUUUGCUCCUUUUGCAUAGCUGGGAGCCAGAGGUUGGAGAAUAAAUUCAGUCUACAGUGGGUAAAUAUGGGGAGG
rnacentral:lncRNA from 1 species